UUAGAAAACUAUGAAUAUACUUCUUUCAAUAGUGAAGCAACUUAUAGUACACUUCCGACUAUCGAAAGUAUCUCAUAUGGAAGGUGUUCCCAAACUUCCAGUUGACAGUGAUGAAAAUUUGGAAGAAUUCGAAAGGUUUUUGGGUACUAAUACAAAUUUUGAGUACAUGGUUAAUACUUUAAGCAUAUCAGGUGCACAACUGUUUCUCAGAUCAGUAGAAGGACUUUGGAAAGAAUAAUUACAAAUAAUUAUGCUAGAAAUUUUAACUGGGCAGGAAGAACACCGAAGAAAUCUUUCAAGAUUCUUAAAAUAAAGGACUUAGUCAUAGCUAUUGUCAAGGCUAUUGAACCAAAUGCUGCAAUAUAUGAUGUAGAAAAGUCCAU